AACGAACGCUGGCGGCAGGCCUAACACAUGCAAGUCGAACGCUGUAGCAAUACAGAGUGGCAGACGGGUGAGUAACGCGUGGGAACAUGCCCUUUGGUUCGGAAUAACUCAGGGAAACUUGAGCUAAUACCGGAUACGCCCUUAGGGGGAAAGAUUUAUUGCCGAAGGAUUGGCCCGCGUCCGAUUAGCUAGUUGGUGAGGUAACGGCUCACCAAGGCGACGAUCGGUAGCUGGUCUGAGAGGAUGAUCAGCCACACUGGGACUGAGACACGGCCCAGACUCCUACGGGAGGCAGCAGUGGGGAAUAUUGGACAAUGGGCGCAAGCCUGAUCCAGCCAUGCCGCGUGAGUGAUGAAGGCCCUAGGGUUGUAAAGCUCUUUCGCCAGGGACGAUAAUGACGGUACCUGGAUAAGAAGCCCCGGCUAACUUCGUGCCAGCAGCCGCAGUAAAAC
rnacentral:rRNA from 1 species